GAAAGAAGAAUGGGAGUCCCUCACUGUGUGGAGUGAAGUGGAAGACUCCAAGACGGACGCCAGGGAGGACACCUUAGGGAGUGAGGCCAGGUCUGCCAGGAGAGGGAGGUGGGGUGCCCUUCACCAAAGUAUAGGACAAGCCACAGGAACUCCCAUCUUGGUUCACACAUACAAUGUGAGGACUGGAAGGAAGGAUGAGACAGGGACCGAUGAAGACCAUGGCUGGAAGGUUAUGGCGAGAGGCAGCCUCACUCAUGGUGGUGGGACGUGCAGCCAGUGUGAAUUCUAAGAUUCCCAAGCAAGACUACAAGGUUCUCUUUUUGAAACGCAAUGAAAGGAGUUCUUUCAUGCCAAACUCGUAUGUGUUUCCAGGAGGAGUGAGUGAACCUGCAGAUUUCUCUGAGGAAUGGUUUGAUGUGUUCAAAAAGUGUGGAUAUGAACCAUUCGGUCUGCUCAAAGACUUAAGAACCAAUGCACCAUCACCUAUGAUAUUUUCCAACAAGACAUACUCCAUCACACCUGAGAUUGGCUUCAGGAUAGGAGCCAUAAGGGAGGCCUUUGAGGAAUGUGGCCUUUUAAUUGCACAUCACUUCCCCUUCAAAAGCCUGGACAAGCCAGAACUCACAAAAUGGCAGCAAAUUGUGCACCAGGAUGCUUCACAGUUUGUUGUGAUGUUCCAAGAGCUGGGUGGGUGUCCUGGCCUCUGGGAUCUGCAUGAGUGGAUAUCAUGGCUCACACCAACACACUUUGCCAGUCGGAGAUUUGACACUGCUUUCUUCAUAACCUUCAUGGAAAAAAUACCGCAAAUUUUUGCUGAUGACAAAGAAGUUGUUGAUAUUAAGGUGGUGUCGCCUUUAGAAAUGGUGAAACAGUGGCGCACUGGAGCUGUCCAGCUUCCACCACCUCAGGUCUAUGAAGUGAGUCGUCUGCUUAGUAUUGACUCUUAUGAGGAGCUGGAGGAGUUUGCACGUGAGCGAGGAAAAAAUGGCAUGGAUCAUUAUUUUCCUGUCAGAAUUGUUGCCAAGAAUGGAACAGUCCUUUGCUUGGCAGGAGAUGAUCUGUAUCCUGAAGAGCCAGACUAUACAGGGGAGCAGGCACAGCUUGUGGUGCAGGAGACUGUGGAGGAACUGAGAGGCCUUGCUCAGAAUCAUCAUCGAAUGGAAUUGAAAAAGCACAACUUGAAAUUAUUGAACUAUUGUGUGGAACAACGCACCUGUCGGGUAACGCCUAACAUUACCGAGGUCGGGUAACGCUUAACAUUACCGAGGCCAGAGCGGCUGGAGGACCAUUUUAGCGCGUCGAGGACGGCACUGCAGUUGUGGUAACACUGAUUGUUGUGAGACCUCCUUUGAAAUGUCUCCAAGAGAUAGUACCGUGGUCCGUGCUUCGUGGUCAGUGCUUCUUGUCAAGGUGGAGGUGAACAACGGAAAUUCCGAGUAGACAACGGUGAUGGGCUGUUGCAGGUGAAGUAAUUUUAUGUUGGGCCUGAAGCAAACUACCACUGUCCUGCCACCAGUCUUAAUCCUGCAGCUGAAAACACUGUUGCACUGGGAGGUUUAGAUGUUUUCUGCCUUGCGUCACCUCCAAUCUCCCCCAACGCCGCCUCCGCUCGGAUCGCAACACUCACGGCUCACCUGUACCACCUGAGACAAUCGAAUACCUCGUGCUUCACUCCCACCGCACUGCGCUGCACUGAUCUCCACCUUCGGCCCCAAGCAUCAUAACACUCGACUUGCCCUCCUAUCCUGGCAGCCUCAGGCGUCCACCAUUCACCCCAAUCGUCGUCGCCUGUGGCUUCCUGCUAUCCUCGCAAAAUCUUCUAUCGGUUCUUAUUAGGAGAUUGGUAACUGAGUGGGCCUAUUUUGUGUUCGUUCUCUUUGGCCAGUCUCGUUCUUCCAAUCCAUCCCUUCAUUAUCCUGUAAGUGUAGCUCAUGCUUCUAGUGGUGUAAUACAUCAUAAUAAAUAAUAAUUACGAA